GAGGAUGUAGCUCAGUAGUAGAGCAUUUAUCUAGCAUGCACAAAACCCUGGGUUUGAUCCCCAGCACUGCCA
rnacentral:tRNA from 1 species